GCGGCGGUGGCGAAACUGGUAGACGCGCAACGUUGAGGUCGUUGUGUUCGCAAGGACUUGGGAGUUCGAAUCUCCUCUGCCGCACCU
rnacentral:tRNA from 1 species